rnacentral:rRNA from 1 species
UACAGAGGUCCCGAGCGUUGUUCGGAUUCAUUGGGCGUAAAGGGUGCGUAGGCGGCGGGGCAAGUCUGAUGUGAAAUCCCGGGGCUCAACCCCGGAACUGCAUUGGAUACUGCCUUGCUCGAGUACUGGAGAGGGAACUGGAAUUUACGGUGUAGCAGUGAAAUGCGUAGAGAUCGUAAGGAAGGCCAGUGGCGAAGGCGAGUUCCUGGACAGUUACUGACGCUGAGGCACGAAGGUCAGGGGAGCAAACGGG